rnacentral:lncRNA from 1 species
CACUGAUCGAGGCCAGAAAUCGAACCUGUGUCCUCAUGGAAACUAGUCAGAGUCGUUUCUGCUGAGCCACAGUGGGAAUUCCGCAUUUCUUCUUAUAGGUACUUUCGUUGUAAUUUUUUCCUCGUUCCAUUUUUUUUCCUUCUCCAGAGCCAAUGGAGUUCUAUUUAUUCGUUUAGGUUUUGAGAUCAAGUAUGGGAUUAAAAACCAGAAUCUGAGAUAGGAUGAUCCAGAGGAAGCAGAAAGGAACAAGCUUCUGGGGAGCAAGUCCAGUGAAGUCUUGGAAGCUCUGACCAAGGAAGAGGCUGGGCAGGUCGAGUUGUCCAGGGGAGCGAGGCCAGAGCCCCCGCCCCUGGAGGACGAGUCAUGGAGGCUUCUUCCGGGGAGAAGGCCCGCACCCCGCGCCCUCCCCUGCCGUGGGGGACACCGCGCCCAGAGCUCUCCUGCUCACCACCAGCCAGGCCCCGACCGGGAAAAGCUUCCACAUGUCGCGAACCCACGGAGCCUUCAGCCGAGGUUCGCGUCUGGUCUGAGGCCUGAGAGACGCCUCGCAAGGGCCGUGAGUGUGGGAACGGCUUCCGCGAGCACGGCCGCCUCACGGCCCCCUGAGGACCCACAUAGGGCAGAGACCCCGCCAGGGCGGGGUCGUGGGAGAAGCUUCGGCCCGCGCUCCAGCCUCGCCGUCCACCAGAUCAACGAUUCGGGGGAGAAGCCUCAUCAGUGCACCGCGGAGGGAAGCGAUCCUACGGCUCCCUGUGCAGAGCUCCCCGGCCGGCCCGGCUCCCUCGAGUGUGGGCAGCGUGGGAAAAGCUUCAACAACGCUCCACUCGAGUGCCCACCAGAACCCACCACACCCCGGGAGAGGCCUUGCCAGUGCCCUCAGUGUGGGAGAAGCUUCCUUAAGAUCUCUGCCCCCAUCUGCAUCUGCCGGUGCACAGACAGGUGCUCAUCCCACAGGAAAGAGGGGACGUGCUCUGCGUGUGGAGGGCACCUGGCAGAGGGAGCCUUCGAUCAAUUUGUGUGUGGUGGGUGCUUCCUUCUGCUUGCGGAGGGUUCUCCUGGGCAAUCUCCGCUGAGCCGCAGAUUUCAUCACGACUGGAUCUUAAGAACCACGUCCAGGAAUUGGAAUCAGCAUAAGAAUGCCCAGCUCUUGCCAGCUCUGCCAGGGACACCUGAGUCCUGUCUCAGUGGGGACUUCAAUUCUGCUUUGAAGCAGACAAGGCUGUAGGAUCCGUAUAUUCUGCAGGGAAUCUGGGGGACCCCUGUUCCCAAGAGAAUGGGGUGGAGCUGGUGGCCUGAGCAGUGUUUGGGCCAUGUCCGAGAGGAAAGUCGCCCUGCUGUGGGAAGCAUGUCUGGAAGCUAAUGGCCUGGAUCUCUUCUAACCUGAUAACUGACCUCUAGGGAUCUAGGGUUGGGGACCACGGCUAACUUCAGAGCAGAUCCCUACCCUGUAAAUCAGCCGCCCCAGAGAAGGAACAGAGGAAAGGAAGGAUAGGGUAAGCUGCUGGACAACACGCAAUCUGUUUCCCUUGGCGACUUAGUCUCAGAGCAAGCAUAACAUCGAGUAAUUUUUUUUUUUUCUUUUUUUCCAGCCAAACCUGUGGCAUAUGUAAGUUCCCAGGCUAGGGACUGAAUGUGAACCACACCUGCAACAACACCAGAUCCCCACCCACUGCAUCAGGCCAGGGAUCAAACCCACACCACCACGGACAUAACACCAGAUCCUCAGCCUGCUGCUACAGUAGGAACUCCAAGAUCCAGUUAAUCUUUUGAGAUUUCUCAUCUCAUCAUCAACUCCACCCCAGUUCCUGGUUUCUUGUCUCAAAUAGUAAACAGUUUCUAGAGGUUUACAAGCAUUACUGUUUCAGGUGACAACAAAGAUAUUUCUCUCUCCAUUUCCUUGGCCUUUAGCUGUAUGUUCUCCACCAACAACAUGCAGGAGACUUCAGGGUCCUUAAGAGAAUCUAAGGGAGGAGUUCCCGUCAUGACACAGCGGAAACGAAUCCGACUAGGAACCAUGAGGUUGCAGGUUUGAUCCCUGGCCUUGCUCAGUGGGUUAAGGAUCCAGCGCUGCCAUGAGCUGAGGUGUAGGUCACAGAUACGGCUCAGAUCCCACCUGGCUGUGGCUGUGUCGUAGGCCGGCGGCUACAGCUCUGAUUAAACCCCUAGCCUGGGAACCUCCAUAGGCCGCGAGUGCAGCCCCGGAAAAAGACAGAAAAAAAGACAAAAAAAAAAGCUUACUGAUCCAGAACAAGGCACUGGUAUUUACGCUUUGGGGAAACCUCUAGGACAAAGAGUAAAAGAUGGGUAAGUUGUCCACAUUCCUUGGCAUGUGUGCAUGUCACAUGUCAGUAACUUGUACGAGGUUGUGAAACCAAGGAAUCACACAUGAGCAAAGGAAAAUGUAUACCCCACGGCCAAAAAAAUUCUUCUUUCCAUUUUCUGGGAAUGGCGGAAGCAAAGGCAGGACAGAAGAGUAUCCUUCAGUGUUUCCUCAGCUUGAGCCUUGCCUGGGCCACCCCCACACUUCCCUGCACACACGGUCCUUGAGCAUGGCCCUCAGGACAGGCUAUGCAGGCCAGUUCCCAGAGCCACACACUUGCUUCUGCUCUACACGCAGGGGAAAAAUGCUAUCCUGGAAAGGCCUGGGCAAAGGCAAAGAGGUGGGCUUAAUAUGUCCUGGUUGGGACAGUGUGACUCUGUUGGAGGUUCGUGGUGGGCAAGAGGGAGAGCCCAGAGGUGGAUCCACUAUGGAUGAGCCUUGUACACCGGCUCAACGAAGCUGGCUUUGACAAGUGGGGAGUGCCCGUGAACAUCAGUGGAAGCGCUAAGGAAGUGGAGGCCUCGCCAGCAGGCUCCUCCCACUCCUGGGUCUGCUGCUGCCAGGGACACCAGGAUGCAACUGCUGUACUCCUUGCAUUCUUAGGUGGCCUCUACCCUCCCAGCUGCUUUAUCCUCUGGUCUGCUGGGCAGGUAAGGGAACAGAGGGUCCUAGAGCUCCCUACCUUUGCCUAUCAGCCUCUCAGGAUGGCCUGAUGUAGCCAGGUAAGAAGUGGAACAUACAUCCAGUUAUUCCUCCGUUUGGGAAAUACUCGAUUGCCUGUAAAGCACCAGGUAUUAGCUAGGAGCCAAAACCAGAGCAAUGCAUGAAGCAGACACUGUAUUUUCCAGAACCAGCCUCACUGGACCUCUCAAAAAAUACAGCACCAGUCAGGCUGUACCACUCAGCCCCCAAGCUCCAAGAGCUGAGUCCCAGCUCUGCAGGGCCACUCUUUCAAGCUUAUGAGUUCGGAUAAACCCGACCUUUCUCCUGUGGUCCCCCUACUCCCUGUGUGGUCGCUGCUUCCUACACUUACUCCUCUGUCACCUUAGUGUUUACCUCCCCCUGACAGAUCAGCCUGCUCACUGCACUGAGCACUUGCGAAUACACGUGACGCAGGAUGUGCAAAAGGGCACACACACAAGUCUAUUGAUUUCCUCUGAUGUGUAAUUAGACCUCUGGUUUAUUGCAGUCCUUCAGGCAUCUAUUAAAAGGCAGUCUUCCCCUGUACAUUUAACCUUGGGGCUGUCCAUGGGUGUGUAAACCUCCCUUCAUCACUGAAACAUUAUAGCUAAUUGAUACAAUUUUUCAAUGGACCUAUUUUCCCCCCAAGGAUUCCUAACCACCUCCAUAGAAUGGAUCAAACACAUACACAACCCAGAGAAACUGGUCAAGGCCUAGAGACCGUCACCCUUUUCACACACCUGUUGUGGUUCCUCAGCCCGAGGUGGUGGAUGGGUGGUCACAGCCAAUACCAGAGCUGGGCCCUGCAGGCCUCCUGCUGCACGUGCUUUCCUCUUUACCUCAUCUCUGCCCCUUCUCUCAGGGGCUGCCUUACCAGUCAGCUUAGGAGCGGCCCAGCGCUUCUGGGGUCCUGGGCUAGACCCUGCUCGGCUCAUCACCGACUUCAUUUUGGACGAUUCCCCGCUUUCACCACCAUCUGCUCCAUCCUCCUCACCGUCCUGCUGCUCAUCUCGUCUUGGCUUCUGGGGCGGAGCCGUGGAGCGCGGGUCCGGCCCGGCGGGUAAACCCUGCGUCGACCGUGGGACGCACUGCUCAAACCGUCUUUCCCAGCGCACCAGGCCUGAAACCGCCGCGGUGAGGGGGCACUUCCGGAAGCU